rnacentral:rRNA from 1 species
UACGUAGGGUGCGAGCGUUAAUCGGAAUUACUGGGCGUAAAGCGUGCGCAGGCGGUUUUAUAAGCCAGAUGUGAAAGCCCCGGGCUCAACCUGGGAAUGGCAUUUGGGACUGCAAGGCUUGAGUGCGGCAGAGGAGACUGGAAUUCCUGGUGUAGCAGUGAAAUGCGUAGAUAUCAGGAGGAAUACCGAUGGCGAAGGCAGGUCUCUGGGCUGACACUGACGCUCAUGCACGAAAGCGUGGGGAGCAAACAGG